rnacentral:rRNA from 1 species
GAUGAACGCUAGCUACAGGCUUAACACAUGCAAGUCGAGGGGUAACAAGAGGAAAGCUUGCUUUUCUUGUUGACGACCGGCGCACGGGUGAGUAACGCGUAUCCAACCUGCCUAUAACUAGGGAAUAACCUUGCGAAAGUAAGACUAAUACCCUAUGAUUUCCUUUGAUGACAUCAGAUUAGGAAUAAAGAUUUAUCGGUUAUAGAUGGGGAUGCGUCUGAUUAGCUUGUUGGCGGGGUAACGGCCCACCAAGGCAACGAUCAGUAGGGGUUCUGAGAGGAAGGUCCCCCACAUUGGAACUGAGACACGGUCCAAACUCCUACGGGAGGCAGCAGUGAGGAAUAUUGGUCAAUGGGCGGAAGCCUGAACCAGCCAAGUAGCGUGCAGGAUGACGGCCCUAUGGGUUGUAAACUGCUUUUAUACAGGAAUAAAGUUAGCCACGUGUGGUUAUUUGUAGGUACUGUAUGAAUAAGGACCGGCUAAUUCCGUGCCAGCCGCCGCCGUAA